CAGUCGUACCUGCGGACAAUCAGCUUUUUGAGUGUGAUUAUGUGGAUUGUGAGGAGUUUAAUCACCCUCAUGUUUUACGUAUUCGUGCUCUUGGGUGUACUUGCCCGUGUGGUAGGUUAACAUCAAUUUUGGUCGUCAUAAAAUGACUGGAGGAAUGUAGCUUUGGUCUCGUAUCGAAGUGUUAUAGACUCUGGUAGAUGUGACGAUUGGGAUUGAGGAUUGCAACGGAUACCCUUCGGGGCUACUCGUCUGAUCUCUGAAGGUUGCUCCGGUGCCGAAAGCGUGCUUACGGUCAUCGAAAGUGAUUUUCAAAAGGUUAGAACGGGUUAAAUUCGUUAAGGAUGUUGACGUAAUGGCUUUAAACGA
rnacentral:rRNA from 1 species